UAUACAUGCAAGUCGAGCGGACAGAAGGGAGCUUGCUCCCGGAUGUUAGCGGCGGACGGGUGAGUAACACGUGGGUAACCUGCCUGUAAGACUGGGAUAACUCCGGGAAACCGGAGCUAAUACCGGAUAGUUCCUUGAACCGCAUGGUUCAAGGAUGAAAGACGGUUUCGGCUGUCACUUACAGAUGGACCCGCGGCGCAUUAGCUAGUUGGUGGGGUAAUGGCUCACCAAGGCGACGAUGCGUAGCCGACCUGAGAGGGUGAUCGGCCACACUGGGACUGAGACACGGCCCAGACUCCUACGGGAGGCAGCAGUAGGGAAUCUUCCGCAAUGGACGAAAGUCUGACGGAGCAACGCCGCGUGAGUGAUGAAGGUUUUCGGAUCGUAAAGCUCUGUUGUUAGGGAAGAACAAGUGCGAGAGUAACUGCUCGCACCUUGACGGUACCUAACCAGAAAGCCACGGCUAACUACGUGCCAGCAGCCGCGGUAAUACGUAGGUGGCAAGCGUUGUCCGGAAUUAUUGGGCGUAAAGGGCUCGCAGGCGGUUUCUUAAGUCUGAUGUGAAAGCCCCCGGCUCAACCGGGGAGGGUCAUUGGAAACUGGGAAACUUGAGUGCAGAAGAGGAGAGUGGAAUUCCACGUGUAGCGGUGAAAUGCGUAGAGAUGUGGAGGAACACCAGUGGCGAAGGCGACUCUCUGGUCUGUAACUGACGCUGAGGAGCGAAAGCGUGGGGAGCGAACAGGAUUAGAUA
rnacentral:rRNA from 1 species